GUCUAGUACUCAGAGUUUGAUCCUGGCUCAGGAUGAACGCUAGCUACAGGCUUAACACAUGCAAGUCGAGGGGCAGCACAGUGUAGCAAUACACGGGUGGCGACCGGCGCACGGGUGCGUAACGCGUAUCCAACCUUCCCGUUACUCAGGGAUAGCCUUCCGAAAGGGAGAUUAAUACCUGAUGGUGUUGAAAUUCCGCAUGUUAUUUCAACUAAAGAUUUAUCGGUAACGGAUGGGGAUGCGUGACAUUAGAUAGUAGGCGGGGUAACGGCCCACCUAGUCUACGAUGUCUAGGGGUUCUGAGAGGAAGGUCCCCCACACUGGAACUGAGACACGGUCCAG
rnacentral:rRNA from 1 species